UUAUUAAAUGUCGAACAAUUUUUGUUUGAAGGUAUCAUCUGUAGAAUUGUGCAGUUUAAAGAUAGAUUAUAGAGAAUAAAGUGAUUGAAAUAAUUAGUAAUGUGGCAAGCGAGGCGAACUAGUAUCUCGACAACAUUCAUCACGACGUGAUGUCGAUGCCGGUGGGCGAGUGGGCUGACAAGGUCACUAUAUACUUUAGUUUAGCCUAAUCGUCCAUGGGAUAUGUGCUGUCGUCGUUUUGAUUUCUAGGCUGCCUCGAUUGUUACCAAUUCUUCUUUAUUUUGAUACUACAAAAUCUGUUCUAUAAUACAAAUAAAUCUGACUUUAGUUUUUAAAUCCACAAUCAAGUGAGAGUGUGUCUAUAGAUUUAAGUGAUUUUUCUUACAAUGUAAAUUAAAAUUUAACAAAAUAAAAAAACUUAUUUUCAGAGCAA